rnacentral:lncRNA from 1 species
CGGGCAGUGCUCACACCUAGACCUUUUUCAAAUAAGAACUGAUUAUGUGCAGUGUGGAAGUGCCAGCCCUGAUAUACCAGAGUUCAGAGACAUCUCAAGGGUCUCAAAGCAGUACACAUAUCAUAGGGGCAGGACUUAGUAAUCUAAGAGUAAUGUGAGAGUGCAUAAUGAUUUGAAAGAGUUUGGUAAGCAGUAGCAAGAGGGCCUCAGGAAUGAAAAGAUUUUCGAAAACAAUACAUAGUUAGGGGGAAAACAGUUUGAGAAAACAUGAAGAAUAUUUUUGGGAUCAGAGAGCAAGUCACAAAACACACAGUUUCAAAAAAAUAUUUUGGCAAACAGACUUUACACAAGGAGAAUGGGGUAGGAACACCUAGAAUUCACCUUAGUAAUAGUGAACAAAUACACAGAUUCCUCAAGAAGUUGUGGAAUUGACAAGUUAGUUACAAAGAUAUGUUGAGAACACACAGGUCUUAGACACAAACAGGAUCUCAUUAGUGAAGUCGAGCAGGUAAGGCUUAGAUGAAAAAACUAGACAAACACUUCAUGAAGCAUUCAAGGUUUAGAAAUACUAAUCACAUACAGAACAAGCCGAAUUUAGACAUGCUGGGUGAGACAAUAAACAAACAAUGCAGUUUGGACAUACUAGUGAACAAAUAGGAUCCAUGCAAUUAUCUAAAGUAGGAUUGGGCAUGCUAAAGAGUAUACUACUAUAGUUUUUAAUAGAACAAACUUAAACAUGUUGACUGAUACAGUAAUUAGGUAGUAUGAUCUGAGCAUGCUGGUUACACAUUGAGUAUAUGAUAGCAGAGUAGCAAAUAGAACUGGAAAUCACAACUAAUGAACUGCAACAAUAGAGAAAACACAUAGUUUUGGAAUGGGAAUUGAAUCAGAACAUACCAGUUAAGGAGAGAAUGUAGAGUAUAGAGCAGAGAUGGUGCAAAUAGCCAGCCUUGGCUUACAGCCGGCUGGAAACAUAAGAUGAUAGAGAGCUUUUUGAGAGUGUGAGAGUGUAGAUGAACUAGUGUUCAUGUCAGAAGUGAGGAGUAAAGGAGAGCAUAUAUGGCUGUUAAGAGCAAGGAAACUAAGGUAAAAGGAAUCAACCCUUUUGCAAUUAAGGAAGCCACAAAAUCAAUUAUACACCAAUUAGUAUAAUUUUUCCUUAAUUAAGGGUAAUUAACCAAUGGCAGGGGUAGAAUAUAUUUAAAAAAAGAAAAUCAAAUGAGCAAUUAGGGGUAAAUAGAUAGAAAUUUAAUUAAGGAAAUGAUUAGUGAAGAAUCAGUGAAUAUCAUGGUUAAUUGGAUAAGGUAAGAAAGCUAAUCAAGAUUGUAAAUAAAAGAAAUAAUCAGGAAUUAGCACAUAGGUCUUAACAAAACAAAUUGAUAAAUCAAGAAUCCAAAUCAAUUACUGAUUUAAAGAGAAAAGUAUAGGUUUACCAUGAAUAGGCAAAAAUGAACAUAGACGCAUAGAAUCAGUAGGAAAGUCGAACCAAGAACAUUAAUAGAGGCACAAUAGGAUAAAAAAUCAAAAGAUAUCGAAUUAGACUAAAGAAUCAUUGAAACCAAAGAAUAGGACAAAGUUAGUACACAAGUAAUUCAGAAACCAAACAAAUGUCGAAAACAUUAGGGCUUUUAGUAUAAAUGAGUUAGGGUCAAAGCAAACCUUACGAAAUUAGUUAGAACACAUAAGAAGCAGAAGGUUAAACACUCAAAAUUAUCAAACGUUUUAGAGAAAGAAAAUUUCAGGAAAACCUAGUUUGAAAACACUUAAAGAAGAAACUGAAAGGUGUGUCAAAAUACAGAGAUUCGAACAAACAGAAGUCAUAGAAGACAAAAACCUGAAGUAUUGUAGUGUUUAAAAUUGGUUAGUAGUAGAGGAAUAAGAGAAACUUAAAAAAAACGCAGAAACUUGAAAACAUUUCAAUUAUGCAAAGAUCCAAACAAUAGAUAGCAAAGAACCCAAAAUAUGGUGCUAAAAUCGGUUAACAGUAAAUAAAUAAGAGAUCUUUAAAGAAAAGUCAUCGCCAUCGGGACGGAUUCAUGUUCAAAGAUUAGGGUUUUGAGGAGAAAGGGGAGGGGUAAAGAGAACCUAGUUUUGAACUAGAGAUUUGAACCAUGGAACUUCAAUAGAAAUUACUCGCAAGCCAUGGAUGAACCCUGGAAGAGCUUUGAACGAGAUAUUGACCAGAUCUCUUCGAGGUUCUUCCACAAAAACCAAAUAAUCGAACAACCAAUGGGAUAAGAGACAAGUAGAGGCUUCGUACAGCCAUAGUACGCCAUAGAUCGGACAGGGAUUCAAAGGAUUAGGGCCAAUUUUGGGUGACGGCGAUUAGGGUUAGGGGUUGGUUUCAGAGAGAACUAGAGAGAAGAGGAUCCAAGGGCGGUUGUAUGGAGGAAAUGAUUAGGGUUUAGGGGGAUGUUUGAUUAAAAAGGCAAGUAUUGAUGUGGACCGUUGAUCUAAAGGAUCAACGGCCACAAUUUGAUGGGGAUCUUGGGUCGGGUAUGAAGGUUUGGGCUGCGUAUGUUUUGGGUUAAAUUGGGCUGAGUAUUGGGUCCAAUUUAGGAUCAGAAUUGAAUAGAAAAUGGGGCCAGAUUUUAAAUAGCCAAGUUAACAACUAAAUAGUUUAUAAAAAAUAAUAAAUGAGUACCAAAAUGUCUUUGUGCACUAAAAUUAUUUAAAAUAGUUAUUUAAUAUUUUUAAAUUAUGAAAGAUCAUUUUAUGCAUAAAUAAUAUAAUUAUACAUUAGUAUGGAUUAUUAUUGCAAAGAUGUGCAAUUUAGCUUGAAAAAUGUAAAUGUAAUUAUAAAAAAUACACUAAAAAUAUUUAAACACUAUGUUGGCAUAAAUAAUGAAUUUAGAUGGCUAAAUAAUCAUAAAAGUAAUAUGAAAGAUAAUUAUUGGAUAUUAAUAAUAAAAAGAGGAGUAAUAAAUAUAUUUGGAGCCUUUAAAACUAUAGAAAAAAUUAUAAAAUGCUUAUGCAUGCUUAUAACUGCAUAUGUACUAUUUUGAAAGUAUAUAAAUGUAUUAAAAAUAUGUGUGGGAAAAAUUGGGUAUCAACAUGUAGCGAUUGAGAACUUUACGGUUUGUAUAUGGCUAGAACUGAGAUUUACAUUGGAUGGUGUCGAGACUCGUAGUAUUUCUAUUAUUCUUAUGGAUUCUACAUUUCAAUAUCUGGAAGGUGAAGAAAACAACUUUAGAUUCGCAGAAGGUCUCUUUAGAGUGGAUAUCUUGGUUGCGGUACUUUUGGGAUACUUAAGAAGGAAUUCAGCUGCUUAUGGGCCUUAUGGCAGUGUGGUUUUAUGCUAGGAUCUCGUGGAGUCAGCUUUGGUUCAGGAUUAUGGUGUUCUGGCAAGGAGAAGUGUCAACUUGAGGGUAAGUCGGAAGGAACUCAGAGAAAUAGGACAGUUUGGUAGUAGGUUGGAUUAGCAAGGUAAGGGAUAUGAUCGGUUCUUUGGGUGCUUAUGAUGUAGGGGUUUCUGCAGGUGCUUUGUGGCAAUACUCUUGGGUUUGGCGACCUACGUGGCUUGGUUGAGUUAGAGAGAUUCAGUUAUGAUGGCUUGAUUAUGUGCAAAUGGAUUCCAAAGUAUUCUCAAUGAUUUCUACCAUAGUUGGAGAUGGAUAUUUCCUAUCGCCAUGAGAAGCAUGUUGAGUAUUGUGAUUUUGUACUGGAUGGGAUCAAAUGGAAGGUUUCUGGCUGAUCGGAUAUGUAUUCUACUUGUGACUCAAAAUGAUUAUGAGGUUCUCGUAUUUUUCAUAUGAUGGCAUGAUAGAUGCGGUGUGUUGUGUGCGAUUAAGGUUUGCGUGUGCAAGGUCAUGGUUUACUUUUGAAGGGGAUGUCAUAAAUUCUUAGGCAACAUGGACGAUUUCAGCUGACUAGAUGAAUGAUAUUACUUCAUUGGUAUUGCGACACUCUCCUAGUUGAUCGACUGUUGAUUUUCAGAUAUUGCUAUGUGGCACGGAAGAAUUAGAGGAGUAUUUCUCGUAGGAUGAUCAUGUAUGAGAGAUGUGUUAGACAUUCAGGCGGUGGAGUUAGGACCAGAUAUGGUGGUUCGUGUGUUCUAUGGAUUUAGAGACUAGGAGUUCUCAGGAGCAGAUUGUUUCGUAGUUGCGAACUGUGAAAAUAAGGCCAAAGCUAGCCGGAGGAUGAUAGUAUGUGUUAUGAUUCAGUCAUUGUGGAUUUUCGGAAGGUUAUUUAUCUAUUUGUGGGUGACCAGAGUUGAUUUGGGAUCCAUUGGUAUGCCCAAUGAGGAUGUAUAUUCUACACCGGGUCAGAUUAGUUGACUUCAUACUGCUAUUGUAGAGGGGUGUGCCAUUCAGUCAGAGUUGAGUUUGUUAUGUUCAGAUAUGUUCCAUGAGUUACUCUUCUAUGCUAUGAGGGGUUGUGAUUCGUUGGUUAUAUACACACAUGGUGUGGUUCUAUUUGGGACCUAUAGCAAAAAUUAAGCGAGACGGGUAUUUGGGUGUUGCAUGAUUUAUUGUGUAGUGGUUAUGUUCUUUCGGACUUAUAUAGCAUUGUGUCAUUUGCUUCUCCGUGGUUAUGGUAAUGCACUUUGGGAUCUUGAUGCCGAAUUGCACGUGGUUAUUGAUUUUGAGUAAGGUGGCUCGAGGUAUAUAACAUGGACCAACAUUUGGAUGGGGUCACGCAUAGCAGCGGGGUUAUAGAAUCUUGUGAUGGUUUUACGGUGUGUGAUAGAUUUUCAGCAUUUCAUUGUGGCGGUACUUAUUAAUCUUGCGGGGUAGUUCUCUCAUUUGAGUCAUUUUCCAUGACUGAGUACAUUUGAAUUGUUGCAUAUUGGUGCACGGAUGGAACAGUUGUGGCUCUGGGUAGUAUUGGUAUGGCAUGUCAGUAGAGUAGCUGGUAUUUGAUAAGAUGAGGUUGUCGAACCUAGAAUGGGUGCUAUCGGGUCUGAUUUCGGUAUAUUUGAAAGGAUAAUGUCGCUGAUUGACUUAGAAAUUUGCUACAGUUAUUGUUGAGGGAGAGGGAGCUCCAUGACUUUUUGAUUUGAUGAAUGGUUAUGAGUUUUUGCAUGUUUAUUGCAUCAUCGGCAUGCGUACGAAGGUUUUAGAAUAAAUUUUUGUUUGAUAUGAGGCUUAUUGCCGGAUUGGGUUGUUUUGAGCAGCUACUGUGAUUAGAAAUCAUUGCUACGAGUAUUCAAGUUAUGUGGUAUAUCAUGAUAUUGCAUCUUGGGUUAUGGUUACGACUUGGUACAGCUUGUUCAGACUUAUAUAGAGUGUGGAUGCGAGAUUCUGAUCUUAUAGAAUGGAUUCUAAGGCUUAUGGCUAAGUUGAAUUUAAAAAUUUCAGAUAUGUUGUGUUAUCAGACCUAUAUGGGAUACGGUGGCAUGGGAUCACCCUCAGGUAUGUGCAUGGUAAGGUUAUAUGGUGGUUUGAUGGCUUUGGGAACAACUAUUGGCACAUUCGAGGACGAACGUAUGUUUAAGUGGGGGAGGAUGCAACGACCGGACCGGUCGUUUUCAGCAUUUGCACUUCGCUCGGUAGUUUAUGGGCAUGAGUAGCUCUAUAUGAUGUAUUAUGACUUAUGCGAAUCAUCGACUUUGGUUUUCAGGUUAUUCGAAAACGAUUUGGAAAAAUGAAUUUCAAUGUUGAAGCUUUGAGUUGAAAGAGUUCACCAAGUUUGACUUUUGGUGAAUUUGACCCCGGAACGGAGUUUUGAUGGUUCCAUUAGGUUCGUAUGGUGAUUUUGGACUUAGGCAUAUGCUCGGAUUUGCAUAUGGAUGUUUCUAGAAGGUUUUGGCACAAAUUAGCGAAAAUUGAAAAUUUGAAGGUUUGAAAAGUUCAAAAGUUUGACCAAGAGUUGACGUGUGGAUAUCAGGUUCGAAUUGUAGUUCCGGGAGUGGUAAUAGCUUUGUUAUAUCAUUUGUGACUUCUGUGUAGAAUUUGGAUUCAUUUCGGGUUGGUUUGCUAUGUUUCGGCACAAGUUAUGGAAGUUGAAAGUUCAUUAAGUUCGAUUCGAGGUAUGAUUCGUUGAUUCGAUGUUGUUAUGCGUGAUUUGAGGCCUCGAUUAGGUCCAUGUUAUGCUAUUAGACCAUUUGGUAUAUUCAAAAGGGGUCCCGAGGGGCUCAGGUGAGUUUCGGACGAGGUUCGGAGUAUUUUGAAAGUUUGGCUAAGGCUGGUUUGGGCAGAGGUUCUGGUGUAACCGCACCUCUGAAGCCAUGAGCGCAGGUGCGAAGCCACAAAAGCGGUAGUGUCAUCGCAGAAGUGAAGGAAUGCUUGGCUAGGGAUCAUCGCAGAUGCGGAGGAAGAGGUGUGCGUGCGUGUGCGCAGAAGCGGAAGCUGUGAUCGUAGAAGCGGGUUUGUACGCAGAAGCACAUUUUGUCUUGCAUCUGCGCUUGCAUAGAAGUGGUGCCUAUUGCGCAGGUGCCGAAGGGCAGACCUCCAGUGUUUUCCAUAGGAGCGGGAAUUUUGACGCAAAAGUGACGCCGCAGAAGUGGUUCUUUGUUCGCAAAAACGAAAAUCGUUGUGCAGAAGCUAUAUAAAAAUUGAGUGUUUUGGUUCUUUCUUCAUAUCUUGAGAUGCGGGACUCGGAUUGAUGCCAUUUUUGAAGAAAUUUCAUCACAAGGAUUGGGGUAAGUAUUCUACACUUGGUUUUUAUCUUAUUCCAUGAAUCUAUCUUCAUUUUUGGAAAUUGGUUGAUGAAUUUUAAAGAGAAAUUGGGGGGGGGGGGGGGGUUUGCCUAAAGUUUCAUAAAAUGAAUUUUUGAGUUGUGAACACCGAUUCGGAGUCGGAUUUGAAUGAAACUAGUAUGGUUGGACUCGUAAUUGAGUGAGUUAUCCAAUUUUGUGAGUUUUUUUCGCGUUUGGAGGCGCGGGUGCGAGUGUGACUUUUGACCGCUUUUGGGUUUUGAUUAAAGAUUCGAUCUUUAUUAUUUGGGAUUGUUUCCUUGGGCUUUAUUUGGUGUCUUUGAGAUGUUUUUGGCUAGUUUUGAGCCAUUCGGAGGUCGAUACGCGCGAGAUCGCAUUUUAGAGUAUCGCUUGGCUUGCUCGGUAUUGGAAUUGGCUUGUUUGAGGCAAGCAACACUUCUAAAUUUGGUGUUGAGAGUAUGAAAUACCGAAUUACGUAUUAUGUGACUGGUAUUGAGGUAACACCCAUUCUAGGUGAUGGGCGUGUGAGCGUGCACCGUGUAAAUUGUAACCUCAUUAUUUCUGUGCUACUGUGGAGUUACCUGAUCUUACCUGUAACCAUGCAAUUUCUACGUACUUGAGCUAUUGAGCUGUGAUCCAUGUUAGAAACCAUGUCUAGGCUAAAUGCUUAUCCUGUUGGAACCCACUGAGGUCAUUUCUACUGUUGAGUUAUCUGCUUUCAUUGCAUUACAUACUCAUGCAUAUGCAUUCAUAUGAAUAUCAUAUCUCAUUCUCUGUUGUUAUUUAUUGAUACAUCAUAUAAUUAUUUUCGGGAUAGUUCCAUGACAUUGUGAGCCUGUGAGAGAGAGACUAGUAAGAUUGAUGACCGACUGAGGCCGAGAGCCUGAUUGUGAGUGAUAUUAUGGGAUCGGGAUGCACGCCGCAAUAUAUUUUAUUGAUUAUAUUAUGGGAUCGGGUUGCACGCCGCAAUAGGUUAUAUUGAUUUGUGCGAUUCUUGGCUUGAUAUAGCACUUGGGCUGAAAGAGCCGCUCCGGAGUCUGCACACACCCCAGUGAGCGCGGUUGAUUAUAUUAAGGGAUGGAUCUUCCCUGGACAUGGAUCUUUUCCGAAGUAUUUAUAUACCUGGGGAUAGAUCUUCCCCACGUGAUGGAUUUGGCCCUACUCAGUACUGGGUGACUGUUGGUCAAUUGAUGUAUAUAUUCUGGGAUGGAUCUUCUCUGGGCCGGAUUACCCAUAUACAGUACUGAGUGAUGGGAUAUGAUGAGUAGAAAGCAUGAGACAGUGAGAUUGAGUACUCUGAGAGUGUGAUUAGAUGAGUUCAUCUCUGAGAUACAUUGCAUUGACAUGCACACAUGACAUGUAGGUAUAGAUAUGUAUUUUCCUCAUCCUGUAUUGACUUCUCACACGUAUUGGCUGUCACACCUCCUUUUUACCUACACCCCUGGAAGGGUAUAAAUAUAAGGGAGUUUUACCAAUUAAAGGACAAUCGAAACGGGAUUAUAUUAAGAAAUUCAGAGUCUCCACUUGGGAUAAUUUAUGGUGUCCCAAGUCACCGGUUUAGAAUCCCAAAUCGAGGAAAGAUUGACUCUGUUUAAUAGUCCGCGAACCAGAAAUCCGGGUAAGGAAUUCUGUUAACUUGGGAGAAGGUAUUAGGCACUCCCGAGUUCCGUGGUUCUAGCACGGUCGCUUUGAUUAUACUUGGCUUAACUAAAUUGUUUAAUUACUGAACUUAGAACCUAUGUGCAUUUACUUAUUAACCACUUUUAAAUCAAGAAAAUUAUCUUGAAACGGUCACGUGUAUGUGUACCCCUUUGUUUGGCAUGUCGAAAAUCAUGUCACGCGAAUGUGUCCACAAUUAAUAAUGCAUUAUUAUUAUUAAGAGAAUUUGGUUUAAGUUGCGCGAACGCAUACUUCGGUUUUAUUUUCAAAAUCGUAAUUAUGUCACGCGAACGUGUACACAAUCACGGUUAUAGAUUAAAUCGAGCCUAAAGCAAUCUACGAACAUUCAUUUUGGAAACCAUAAUCAUGUCACGCGAACGUGUACAUAAUCACGAUAAUAAAUUCAAAACUUGCCUAAAGGUUCGCCUACGUAUGUGUGGCCGGCCUAAUCAUGCUCCGAUCGAUCCGAACAAUUAAAAGAGAAAUGGAACAGGAACAACAGAGACUUUCUUAAGUUUAAAUUCUUCCUCAUAUUUAUCUAAGACCCAAAUUCCCCUAACAUUACACUAAACUAAAGUUUAAAGCUAGAAUCUGAUUCAUGGUUACUAAUUAAAUAGGAUUAGACUUUGUUUCUGCUUUUCUUUGCAGGUAAUAAUCGAAACAUCCUUUUAUCCCUUGGAUAAAAAUACUGAUGAUAUGAAUGUUACCAACCCUUUUUCCCCUCUAUGAAACAGAGGCAAUCCAAUAAUUUUAAAUUGGUGAGCGUGAUUAGCGCUGCACCCGCUACUAAAAGCUUCUUUUUUAAAUGUAAAUCUAAUUAAGUACUAGAAAUCUCUCUGUGAACCUAUAUAUAUAGCAUCUGAUUCAUAUAUCGUGGGGCAUUCACAACAUUAUUAUAAAAGGAUCAUGGUUUAUUUCAGCAACAAUGAAGAGAAAACUAUUAAAAAGAACAUACACGGAAUUUCUUAACCGAACUAGUCCAAUUCUGAUUAGAACAAACAGAUGCAAAGAUCACUAGGAAAAUCACAAACAUAUUAGCACAAACGUUUCCUCCUCAAUUCAAUAACUUCAUAACCAACAGUAGUCUACACAAAAAUUGCAUUCCAACAGUAUAUAAGAAUUAAUAUGAAACAAAAUUAAAAGAGAAGAAGAAAUUAACCUUUGUUAUCUCAGUAAAACUCGACUAUGCCACAUGACCGAAGAAUAGAACCUCAAACACAGACCGGCGACAACCCCGAACAAACCCGUCAACCAAAGAUCACGCCGGAAAACUCGACCUCGACGACUCGAACUCACAAACGACCCCAAAACUUUAACUGCCUUACGCUCGCUCCCUCACUCCGUUCAUGUGCGUGACUGUGUGCGUGAGAAGGUGAAGCUCGCCGGAUAUGGCAUUUUUUCGGCCAGAUCUGUCACCAAACUGUUAGCGAUGACAUAGGGUGAGGAAGAACGAAGGAUGAGGUCAUUUCGACCAUGGCUAGACGCCAGAGCUUCUGUUUCAAUCCCUUUCCCGCCCUGUUAUUUUCGUGUAUGUCUGUGUGUUCGAAUGGUAUAGCCAAGAUGAAGCUCAGGGUGGUCGUUUGUGGACUGGUUUCCGGCGAGGGGUCGCAAGAUGGAGAAGCAGUAGCAUCUCCUUGUUAUGGUGUUGCUGUUGACAAAAAGCAGUGGAGAGAGGGGUGUUUGGAGGAGACAGAUGCGAGGGGGGGUGGGGGUCGUUCUCUGCUGUCGAGUUUCUAAAGAAGACGAUGCGCAACUUCUGCGUCUUUGUUGCCUUCAGCCUUUUUUCGUUCUUAUUCUUUUUUUUCUGUUAUCUCUUUCGUUUUUCAAAUAUCCGAUGGAGAGGAGGGUCGUUUUUAAAGGUAGGGUUAUUUGGAGAAGAUGACUCGCAGGGGGGUGGGGGGUGGUGAAGAAGACGAUGCAGGGGGGGUGGGGUUCAUUCCCUGCGC